CUCUCUGUAGCUCAGUUGGUUACAACACUGCACCGGAAUCGCAGGGCCGCAGGUUCGAUUCCUGCCAGAGGGC
rnacentral:tRNA from 1 species